UUGACACCGCCGCCGAAGACGAGGACAUCGUUCUGUUAUGCGAUGGCAGCGAAGAGGAAGGAGAUGCGUCCGACGAUCUAGAAACCUCUGCAACAUCUACGCCAUCGCAA
rnacentral:lncRNA from 1 species